CACGUAGGGCGCGAGCGUUUAUCCGGAAUUAUUGGGCGUAAAGAGCUCGUAGGCGGUUUGUCGCGUCUGCCGUGAAAGUCCGGGGCUCAACUCCGGAUCUGCGGUGGGUACGGGCAGACUAGAGUGAUGUAGGGGAGACUGGAAUUCCUGGUGUAGCGGUGAAAUGCGCAGAUAUCAGGAGGAACACCGAUGGCGAAGGCAGGUCUCUGGGCAUUAACUGACGCUGAGGAGCGAAAGCAUGGGGAGCGAACAGG
rnacentral:rRNA from 1 species